GACGAACGCUGGCGGCGUGCCUAAUACAUGCAAGUAGAACGCUGAAGGAGGAGCUUGCUUCUCUGGAUGAGUUGCGAACGGGUGAGUAACGCGUAGGUAACCUGCCUGGUAGCGGGGGAUAACUAUUGGAAACGAUAGCUAAUACCGCAUAAGAGUAGAUGUUGCAUGACAUUUGCUUAAAAGGUGCAAUUGCAUCACUACCAGAUGGACCUGGGUUGUAUUAGCUAGUUGGUGGGGUAACGGCUUACCAAGGCGACGAUACAUAGCCGACCUGAGAGGGUGAUCGGCCACACUGGGACUGAGACACGGCCCAGACUCCUACGGGAGGCAGCAGUAGGGAAUCUUCGGCAAUGGACGGAAGUCUGACCGAGCAACGCCGCGUGAGUGAAGAAGGUUUUCGGAUCGUAAAGCUCUGUUGUAAGAGAAGAACGAGUGUGAGAGUGGAAAGUUCACACUGUGACGGUAUCUUACCAGAAAGGGACGGCUAACUACGUG
rnacentral:rRNA from 1 species